rnacentral:rRNA from 1 species
GACGAGCCUCACAAACGUUAUUCGGAAUUACUGGGCUUAAAGGGUGCGUAGGCGGCGCGGAAAGUUGGGUGUGAAAUCCCUCGGCUCAACCGAGGAACUGCGCCCAAAACUACUGUGCUCGAGGAAGAUAGAGGUGAGCGGAACUUACGGUGGAGCGGUGAAAUGCGUUGAUAUCGUAAGGAACACCCGUGGCGAAAGCGGCUCACUGGGUCUUUUCUGACGCUGAUGCACGAAAGCUAGGGGAGCAAACGGG